rnacentral:misc_RNA from 1 species
UCCGGCUUCCCGCCGGCAGUCUCCCGAGAGUCCCCGCCAUGACGCGCUGGCAACACGGGACAAGGGUUGCGCUCGUUACGGGACUUAACCCAACAUCUCACGACACGAGCUGACGACAGCCAUGCAGCACCUGUCACUGGGUUCCCGAAGGCACAGUCCUGUCUCCAGGACCUUCCCAGGAUGUCAAGGGCAGGUAAGGUUCUUCGCGUUGCAUCGAAUUAAACCACAUGCUCCACCGCUUGUGCAGGCCCCCGUCAAUUCCUUUGAGUUUUAAUCUUGCGACCGUACUCCCCAGGCGGAUAACUUAAUGCGUUUGCUGCGCCACCGAAGAGCAUGCUCCCCGACGGCUAGCACCCAUAGUUUACGGCGUGGACUAC